CGUAGGGUGCGAGCGUUAAUCGGAAUUACUGGGCGUAAAGCGUGCGCAGGCGGUUUUGUAAGACAGGCGUGAAAUCCCCGGGCUCAACCUGGGAACUGCGCUUGUGACUGCAAGGCUAGAGUACGGCAGAGGGGGUGGAAUUCCACGUGUAGCAGUGAAAUGCGUAGAGAUGUGGAGGAGCACCAAUGGCGAAGGCAGCCCCUCGGGUCGAUACUGACGCUCAUGCACGAAAGCGUGGGUAGCAAACAGGAUUAGAUACCCUGGUAGUCCACGCCCUAAACGAUGUCAACUAGGUGUUGGGUGGGUAAAACCAUUUAGUACCGGAGCUAACGCGUGAAGUUGACCGCCUGGGGAGUACGGCCGCAAGGUUA
rnacentral:rRNA from 1 species